rnacentral:lncRNA from 1 species
CAUUCUCCUGCCGCAUCCUCCCAAGUAGCUGGGAUUACAGAUGCCCACCACCACACCCAGCAAUUUUUUGUAUUUUUAGUAGAGACAGGUUUGCCAUGCUGGCCAGGCUGGUCUUGAACUUCUGAUGUCAGGUGAUCCACCCGCCUCAGCCUCCCAAAGUGCUGGAUUACAGGCGUGAGCCACCACACCUGACUGGAAAAGCUUACUUUUAAAAAGAAAGGUCAGGAAAGACAUUUCUGAGAAGGUGACAUUUGAGAAUGUGACAUUUGACCUGACUGCAGGACAGCACUGACCAGUCUGACAAACCCCUUCCACAGGCCUACAGUAGUUUUGUUUCCAGCCCUACACCACUUUUCCUGUUUCCUCCCUGCUUUCUUAGAUCUCAUGGAGUGAUGGCAGUAGAAGUGACCCUUCAAUGGUUUCCUCAUGAGAUGGAGUGAAUACAGACAAAAACAAAAGAGCUUUCCGUUGCAGGCUUAGGAAAACCUUGGGGAAUAGAAUUAUCACUACCAAUCAGCAUUGAGCAGCCAUAGGGGUGCCUGGAAUGAGAUGCGCCUGAGUUUGCUUUUAAUCAUCUACAAAAUUAUCAUGAUCUUCCAGGAGUCCUUCGCUUUGAGAUCAGUAAAGGAAAUUUAUACUCAGAGAAAGAGGGAGGACAGACUGUCCUGACCUGGACUUAAGUGAUCACAGUAUUCUCUCAACUUUGAGUUCAUGUUUACACUGAAGCCAGUGUGUCUCUGACCCCAUAAGACUCCUAGCACUAUUCCUAGCCUCCGUUGGCCACAGGUCCCACUGACAGAUACGUUCUUGUGGUAAGAUAUUCCUAGUGGUCAAUAUGAUUCCUCCCGCAGGCAUAUUACAUUGCAGUUUCUUAUCCCACUGUUCAUGGCUAAUUAGAAUAAUCAAUGUCUCUCUCUUCCAAAUGUUAGCCACAUGGGGUCAAGUCAGCAUCAAGCUAGUUUUUUAUCACAAAUUUUCCAUAUUCCUCUUUUCUUCCACAUACCAGGUCAAGAUUGCUACACCCCUCUCAACUUUUUCCAACAUGUGAAUUUUGGAAACGUAACAAGAAGGAAGAGUGAAUAGACUUUUCAACUGGGGACCAGCAAGAGCCAAAGGAAAUGGAAUAAUGAAGCAUGUUCUGCUAUUGAGCCUGGGUCUGUGACCAUGUCCAAAUGAGGCUUUUGCUUUUUAUAGGAUGCAGAUCAUAUCAUUCACUCAUGCUCCAUAAGACCCUAAGAUUUAUCCAUGAGACUUAUCCAUAAUAUUUGCCCCAAAAGAUUUAUCCAUAAUAGACUAUUCUACUCCCCACUUUCUCACUCACUCUUUCCCCCUUUCUCUCUGUGAACCUUCUACUCAAAGCCAGGUUUUCAUAAGGGCACAUUUAUGAGGCUAUUGUUCACAGAUGAUUUACCCAAUUUUUCUUUAUUAAUUCUCCUUUGAUUGCUUUCAGAUGUUGUCUCCUAUUUUUCCAGAUAGGUAAUAUGUUUUUCAAUCCUCAUCCACACAGUAAAAUAUUGUCAUUUGCCAUAUUAUUUGGAUCCUCAAUAGAUUUUUUUCAGGUAUAUUUACUACUACUUGACAUCCAGGCAAUACCCAAUAAUAAUAGUAAACUCUUAAAUAGUAUUUACUGUCUUCCAGGCACUGUUUUGAGCACUUUACAUUUAUUAGCUCAUCAGAUUCCCCAACAGCCUUGUGAAGUACGUGGUGUUAUAACAAUUUACAGAUGAAGAAACUGAAGCACAGAGAAGUCAAGUAAGUUGCCCAGUGUAAAUCCCAUACAGGUCUAUUGUGUUUGUUCCUUGGCACUCAAACUUAGUAAAAUUGCGUAAUGUUUUUGUCUGUGUUAAUUUAUCAAAUUCCUAUGUAUCUCUUUUCUGAAACAGAAGAAAUAGGUCAGUUCAAAAUAAUCAUUAGGCCAGGCACAGUGGCUCAUGCCU